UUGAUGGAAUCAAAGGUCAUGGGCGCCAGG
rnacentral:piRNA from 1 species